CCAGACUCCUACGGGAGGCAGCAGUGGGGAAUAUUGGACAAUGGGGGGAACCCUGAUCCAGCGACGCCGCGUGAGUGAAGAAGUAUUUCGGUAUGUAAAGCUCUAUCAGCAGGGAAGAAAGAAAUGACGGUACCUGACUAAGAAGCCCCGGCUAACUACGUGCCAGCAGCCGCGGUAAUACGUAGGGGGCAAGCGUUAUCCGGAUUUACUGGGUGUAAAGGGAGCGUAGACGGCGAUGUAAGUCUGAAGUGAAAUGCCCGGGCUCAACCUGAGAACUGCUUUGUAAACUGUAUGGCUGGAGUGCUGGAGAGGUAAGCGGAAUUCCUAGUGUAGCG
rnacentral:rRNA from 1 species